AAACUGUAAUUUAGUCCCUUUGAUUUAGUGAAAUGCAACCUUUUGUCCCUCUGUUUUAAAAAAUCUUCAAUUUAGUCACUGUAAUUUUUAAAAACUAUGACAUUAGUCCCUCCCGUUAGAUUUUCAGUUAAAUCACCGUUAAUUUUAGUUAAAAAGACUAAAAUACCAAUUCUCUCUCCUUCCUCUUCCUCUUCUUCUUCUUUUUCUUCUUCUUCU
rnacentral:lncRNA from 1 species